CUGCCCAGGGCUGGACACCCACUGCCCAGGGCUGGGGACAGACACUGCCCAGGGCUGGGGACAUUCACUCAGCAGGGCUGGGGACAACCACUGAGCAGCGCCAGGGGACAGGGAGGCAUCCAGCUGCUGAGGGAGCCUGUGGGAGAGCUGGACAGGGACACACAGCACCCUGAAGUGGUGGGAAAAGGGGAAUGGCUUUAGACAGAGCAGGGGGUUAGGUGGGAUAAUGGAAGGAAUUGUUCCCUGGGAGGGUGGGCAGGCCCUGGCACAGGGUGCCCAGAGCAGCUGUGGCUGCCCCUGGAUCCCUGGCAGUGCCUAAGAACACGUUGUAUGGGGCUUGGAGCAGCCUAGGACAGUAGAAGGUGUCCCUGCCCAUGACAGAUGUAGCACUGGGUGGGAUUUGAGGUCCCUUCCCACCCAAACCAUUCCAUGGUUCUAUGAAAAUGCAGGAAGAUGAAGUGAGGAAGCCAUUUGGAGAGGUAGGGACAAUGUCAUAACCCCCAGCACCUCUGUGACAUGGGCCAGGGAGGGUUUGGAAGGGUGCAGGGAUUUGGAAAAGGCUGUUGGUAACAAACCCAUUGGGGAGGUGCAGGAGCUGUGCAUAUCUGUCCAGGCUUGUGUGGAAGUGCAGGCUGCUGGACUUGUUAAAGGAGGGCUGGGCCAUGCAGAAGGCAAAGCUGAGGAACCCAAGAGCCUUUGCAGCUGAUGGCAAACACUGGCAGGAGGAGCUUGGAGAGGAUUUUAUCUGAGGUUCCCACAACCCUGGUGCACCCCUCAUGUCCCUUUUGGAGACAGCCCUGGAGCACGGGAUGCCCCUUCAUCCCCAGCCAGGCAAUCCCAGGGGUCUGCCCCUCAGCUCUGAGCACUGCUGAGUGGAAGGAAUGUGAAAAAGAGAUCAGAGCAGGGUUCUGGAGACACCUUUGUUAAAGGCAUCUGAAAUGUGGAUUCUGCUGCUGAGGCCCCGGGGGUUUGAGGAGCCAGGGGGAAGAACACAGCCCUGAGACACCCAGGAACCUCCCAGCCAUGUUAAAUAAAAAACAAGCAAAACCACUGAAAUAACAUUUUUGUGUUAAACCACUGAAAUAACAUUGCUAGCAGGCACUGGGGGAGGAUCAGCAGGAAGAUAAAUGGGCAGUGUCCCCAACAGGAAGCUAAUGACAUGUGCUGUCCUGUUGUGUACCCACACACAGAGGAGAAAGAAUGACUGCAGUUAUUUCUUUGUCACAUCAUGCUCUGAAAACCCUGCACUUGGUAGCACUGUUUGCAUGGAAGGGAUGCAGUGCAGUGCUCCAUGUAAUUAUGCAUGGGAUUAGAGGAAAUUUGGAAAUUAUAGCAUACAGAGGUACAUUAGUUUUUAAGAGAUACUUUAGGAUAAAAGGGUGGGAGUGAAGUAAAGCAGCUUAUUCCCUAUUUUUGGGUUUACUCUUGGUGCAUGGUGACUGUGGCAACCCCAGGAGGAAUUCCCUGCCCACCAGAGCUGCUCCAGCCCUGUGAGCCCAGAGGUGACCAAAUACAUUCAGUGGGGACUGGAGACAGAAUAUGGGAAUGUUUUGGGGCAGAUUUCUCUCCUGGCUAAUUCCCAGAUAUGAUUAUCCAGGCAGAGAGCUGAUGGCCUCUUUGAAAUGAAAUUUGUCUAAAAUAUGGCCCGGUCUCAAACUGGCUCCAGGCUCCUGCUUUAUCCAGUAAUAUCCUGCAAGAAAUAGCCUCCCUUAAUCCCUGGGAGAAAUGCUGCUGCAAUACCUGGGGUCUGCAAUACAUCUGCUGUUGUAUUUUUGUCACCUUAACAUUUAAAAUGCUGAUACACCAAAGAUCCCCCCUGUCUCAGCACUAGCUGGGACUGGUUUCACAGCCAGGCUUUGCUUGCCAGGCUCUGCCUACCUCUGUGCAGGAGAUAAAUUUGUGAUUACAGGGUAAUGGAUCAUGUCUGAAUUAGCUCUGCCAGAAGAGGCAGACAGAAAAUGGCAUUUA